UUUCAAUUUUAUUUUGUAAUUGCAACAGACAUUAUGAAACAGAAAAUUGAAUCUCUUGGCGGGUGAUAGCUUUAUUGAGGUUAAAAAUUUCUUGGACUCAGAUGGACUUAGUUAAGAGGUCCAGAUGGCUGAGGUGUAUGAAUUUAGCAGCGGUCAGCAGCUGCUAAUUUAAAACAACAUAAAUGAAGGACACAGAGAAAUAGAUUGAAUCCUGGGAUUUAAGAGACUUGAUAAAAAGCAUGAAAUAGUGAAGGCACAAGAGUAUUGCGGCGUUAGUCAAUGGAUAUUGAUGCACUAAGUCUUAUAUCUAAGUGAAAUGGAACUUACAGGCCACCUCAUGAAUCAAGGAAAGGA